AUCUUUUUGCAGUUCAUAAGCGUGAUGAUUGAUUUUUCAUGCUUAUGUAUGAGAUGUGCCUCCCUCACACCUUGUUACAAUGUCAGCACGUCACCCGUCUGAUG